rnacentral:lncRNA from 1 species
ACGCCACUGCUAGCCAACGCGCACCACAUUUCGCUUACAUCCUCCCACACUGCGAGGUUUUCAAAUGGGUCAGCACUUGCUACUUCUUUCAGCAAGCAUAAAUCUUCGUCUAUACAAAAUUGCUUCUGUGGCUUGUGCAGUGCAUACGAACAUAAAGGCGUGGUUGAAGUGGACGGCACGAUCGAGAAUAUCU